CGAACGGGUGAGUAACGCGUGAGGAACCUGCCUCAAAGAGGGGGACAACAGUUGGAAACGACUGCUAAUACCGCAUAAGCCCACGGGUCGGCAUCGACCUGAGGGAAAAGGAGCAAUCCGCUUUGAGAUGGCCUCGCGUCCGAUCAGCUAGUUGGUGAGGUAACGGCCCACCAAGGCGACGAUCGGUAGCCGGACUGAGAGGUUGAACGGCCACAUUGGGACUGAGACACGGCCCAG
rnacentral:rRNA from 1 species